GAUAGCUUGCUAUUGUCGCUGGCGACCGGCGCACGGGUGAGUAACGCGUAUCCAACCUUCCCCUUAGUAGAGGAUAGCCCGGCGAAAGUCGGAUUAAUACUCUAUGUUGUAUUUUGAGGACAUCUGACGAAUACCAAAGAUUCAUCGCUAAGGGAUGGGGAUGCGUCUGAUUAGCUUGUUGGCGGGGUAACGGCCCACCAAGGCGACGAUCAGUAGGGGUUCUGAGAGGAAGGUCCCCCACAUUGGUACUGAGACACGGACCAAACUCCUACGGGAGGCAGCAGUGAGGAAUAUUGGUCAAUGGGCGAGAGCCUGAACCAGCCAAGUAGCGUGCAGGAAGACUGCCCUAUGGGUUGUAAACUGCUUUUAUCAGGGAAUAAAGUUCGGCACGUGUGCUGUUUUGUAUGUACCUGAUGAAUAAGGACCGGCUAAUUCCGUGCCAGCAGCCGCGGUAAUACGGAAGGUCCGGGCGUUAUCCGGAUUUAUUGGGUUUAAAGGGAGCGCAGGCUGGAUUUUAAGCGUGCUGUGAAAUGUACCGGCUCAACCGGUGACGUGCAGCGCGAACUGGAGUCCUUGAGUGAGUACGAGGUAUGCGGAAUUCGUGGUGUAGCGGUGAAAUGCUUAGAUAUCACGAAGA
rnacentral:rRNA from 1 species